CCUACGGGCGGCAGCAGUCGAGAAUUAUUCACAAUGGGGGAAACCCUGAUGGUGCGACGCCGCGUGGGGGAAUGAAGGUCUUCGGAUUGUAAACCCCUGUCAUGUGGGAGCAAAUUAAAAAGAUAGUACCACAAGAGGAAGAGACGGCUAACUCUGUGCCAGCAGCCGCGGUAAUACAGAGGUCUCAAGCGUUGUUCGGAACCACUGGGCGUAAGGCGUGCGUAGGCUGUUUCGUAAGUCGUGUGUGAAAGGCGCGGGCUCAACCCGCGGACGGCACAUGUUACUGCGAGACUAGAGUAAUGGAGGGGGAACCGGAAUUCUCGGUGUAGCAGUGAAAUGCGUAGAUAUCGAGAGGAACACUCGUGGCGAAGGCGGGUUCCUGGACAUUAACUGACGCUGAGGCACGAAGGCCAGGGGAGCGAAAGGGAUUAGAUACCCUUGUAGUC
rnacentral:rRNA from 1 species